CACUUUUGCUACCCUCGCAGGUCCCGACGAGACGCGCCGUACCGGGUCACGACAAGACGACGCACC
rnacentral:ncRNA from 1 species